GCUUCACUGACAUGUCUGAAAACAGUGAUAGAUUUACUUUGAUCUUCUUCAGUGAAGGAUUUCAUCCUUUCUUUUUCAACCUGUGCUUCUAACUCGGCUAUUCUUUGUAAUGAUAAUUGUUCAACACAUGCACGACGUUUCCGUUCUUCUUCCAGCAACCCAGUCAUCUGAUACCGCAGCUCAGCCAUUUCUUGAGCUAAAUCCUCUGAUUCUUCUUUGGCUUUUAG
rnacentral:misc_RNA from 1 species